GUUAGUUUAUCUCCCUUGUUUACAUCUACAUCUUUUCUGUUAGUUUAUCUCCCUUGUUUACAUCUACAAGGGAGAUAAACUAACAGAAAAGAUGUAGAUGUAAACAAGGGAGAUAAACUAACAGAAAAGAUGUAGAUGUAAACAAGUGAGAUAAACUAAC
rnacentral:sRNA from 1 species